AUUAAAAUAGCAUAAAUUAUGCACUAAGCUUAAGACUCAGAGAUAAGAACUAAAUUUCUUUUUUAAUA
rnacentral:tRNA from 1 species